GAUUCCUGGCAGAAUUAACCACCAUGAUAGGAAAGACAAAAGACCCAGGCAAGAACAAAAGCAGGGCAAUCAUGGACAUUUGAAACCCAUCAAGCAGGCUCAGCUCCAGAAAUCUCAAAAUGUUAAAACCAGCUUUAAUAAUGGUGGAAGUGUUAUACCCCCAAAGUUACUAAUUUUCUCAGAAAGCACAUAACAUUUCACACAAUUUAAAAGAACUUCCAUACACACACAAU